AGGUGUCCAGACCAGCAUUUACCAGACUUGCUGGUCACAAGGAUGACUGAGGCACUGGACAAAAUUUUCUAUUCCUUGACCCCUGCCCUGUAGGUCCUGAUCCACAGGGUCUGAGUGGUGGUACUGGGUAGGGCUGGUGUGAGCCAGGAAUCUGACUUAACUGUCAGGAAAGCCUAAGAACCCUUGGGCCAGGAUAUGCCAUGGAUUUUCCGACCUCCGGACUUUUGCACACGAUGAAAUUCCCUUUUCCAGGGGUUUGCAACUAUCCCCUGUGAGAAGUUCUACUCAUCCCUGGAGGAACAAUUCAAAUGUCAGUGGCUGGGCUGAGCGUUCCUGAUGGACAGGUGGUGUGUGUUAAGGGCAAUGCCGAUGUUGCCGAGGGCCCUGAACUGCAAUUUCAGCUGAGCUAGCCGUUCAUCCCCUGCCUCUUGUAACGGCUGGAGGCCGUGGGCUGGCCAGGAGGCUCUUGUUCCCUGUCAACUUCCAGGGACUUCUACUCAUCUCUGUGGUUGAAGGUAGUCCCCAUUAAGCCUGUUCCAGUGCAGGGGAAGGAGAAGGAGACACGGAAAGGGGUCCUGCCCAAGACGUGAGACCCUCCCAGGAGCCCGCACAGCCGACUGCACCUCACCCUGUCAGAACUUGGCCAGGACAACCCCUGAAGUUGCAAGGAUUCCCGGAUAAUUCCAGAGGAAGGAGAAGGGAGCAAUGCCCCAGAGGAGGAACUUACCAAUGACGUCUUCUGUUAUCAUUUUAGCCUAGUGAAAAUUCCAGGACCUCAAAGUCUGGAUGUUGGAGAAGAAUGGGGAGGGAAAGAAAUCCCAUUCCCUCAGCCCAGAAUUCCAACCUGGGAAUUUCUAUGGAAGAAAAUGAAUGAAAAAAAAAAAAAAAAAACCAAACAAGUUUGUACA